UACGUAGGGUGCGAGCGUUGUCCGGAAUUAUUGGGCGUAAAGAGCUCGUAGGCGGCUUGUCGCGUCGGAUGUGAAAGCCCGGGGCUUAACUCCGGGUCUGCAUUCGAUACGGGCAGGCUAGAGUUCGGUAGGGGAGAUCGGAAUUCCUGGUGUAGCGGUGAAAUGCGCAGAUAUCAGGAGGAACACCGGUGGCGAAGGCGGCAUCCUGGACCGGCAUUGACGCUGAGGCGCGAAAGCUAGGGGAGCAAACGGG
rnacentral:rRNA from 1 species